AGAGUUUGAUCCUGGCUCAGGAUGAACGCUAGCGACAGGCUUAACACAUGCAAGUCGAGGGGCAGCGGUGGUGAAGGCUUGCCUUUACCAGCCGGCGACCGGCGCACGGGUGAGUAACACGUAUGCAACCUGCCUGCCACAGCCGGAUAAUCGGGAGAAAUUCCGUCUAAUACGGCAUAAUGCACCUAUGGGACAUCCUGUUGGUGCCAAAGGUUGAUUCCGGUGGCGGAUGGGCAUGCGUCGCAUUAGUUAGUUGGCGGUGUAACGGACCACCAAGACGACGAUGCGUAGGGGUUCUGAGAGGAAGGUCCCCCACACUGGUACUGAGACACGGACCAGACUCCUACGGGAGGCAGCAGUGAGGAAUAUUGGUCAAUGGGCGGGAGCCUGAACCAGCCAAGUCGCGUGAGGGAUGACGGCCCUAUGGGUUGUAAACCUCUUUUGCCGGGGAGCAAAGUGCCGCACGUGUGCGGUUUGGAGAGUACCCGGAGAAAAAGCAUCGGCUAACUCCGUGCCAGCAGCCGCGGUAAUACGGAGGAUGCGAGCGUUAUCCGGAUUUAUUGGGUUUAAAGGGUGCGUAGGCGGACGCUUAAGUCAGCGGUAAAAUUGCGGGGCUCAACCUCGUCGAGCCGUUGAAACUGGGUGCCUUGAGUGGGCGAGAAGUACGCGGAAUGCGUGGUGUAGCGGUGAAAUGCAUAGAUAUCACGCAGAACUCCGAUUGCGAAGGCAGCGUACCGGCGCCCAACUGACGCUGAAGCACGAAGGCGUGGGUAUCGAACAGGAUUAGAUACCCUGGUAGUCCACGCAGUAAACGAUGAAUGCUAGUUGUCCGGGGCGAUUGAGUUCUGGGUGACACAGCGAAAGCGUUAAGCAUUCCACCUGGGGAGUACGCCGGCAACGGUGAAACUCAAAGGAAUUGACGGGGGCCCGCACAAGCGGAGGAACAUGUGGUUUAAUUCGAUGAUACGCGAGGAACCUUACCCGGGCUCAAACGCAGGAGGGAUGUUUUUGAAAGGAGGCAGCCAGCAAUGGUCUCCUGCGAGGUGCUGCAUGGUUGUCGUCAGCUCGUGCCGUGAGGUGUCGGCUUAAGUGCCAUAACGAGCGCAACCCCUACCUACAGUUGCCAUCGCGUGAUGGCGGGCACUCUGUGGGGACUGCCUGCGCAAGCAGUGAGGAAGGCGGGGAUGACGUCAAAUCAGCACGGUCCUUACGUCCGGGGCGACACACGUGUUACAAUGGCAGGUACAGCGGGAAGCCACCCGGCGACGGGGCGCGGAACCCGAAAACCUGUCUCAGUUCGGAUUGGAGUCUGCAACCCGACUCCAUGAAGCUGGAUUCGCUAGUAAUCGCGCAUCAGCCACGGCGCGGUGAAUACGUUCCCGGGCCUUGCACUCACCGCCCGUCAAG
rnacentral:rRNA from 1 species